rnacentral:rRNA from 1 species
AUUGAACGCUGGCGGCAUGCCUUACACAUGCAAGUCGAACGGCAGCACGGGUGCUUGCACCUGGUGGCGAGUGGCGAACGGGUGAGUAAUACAUCGGAACGUACCUUAUCGUGGGGGAUAACGCAGCGAAAGUUGCGCUAAUACCGCAUACGCCCUGAGGGGGAUAGCGGCGGAUCGUAAGGCCUCGCGCGAUUAGAGCGGCCGAUGUCUGAUUAGCUUGUUGGUGAGGUAAAAGCUCACCAAGGCGAUGAUCAGUAGCUGGUCUGAGAGGACGAUCAGCCACACUGGGGCUGAGACACGGCCCAGACUCCUACGGGAGGCAGCAGUGGGGAAUUUUGGACAAUGGGGGCAACCCUGAUCCAGCAAUGCCGCGUGAGUGAAGAAGGCCUUCGGGUUGUAAAGCUCUUUUGUCAGGGAAGAAACAGCAGCUCUAACACAGUCUGCGAAUGACGGUACCUGAAGAAUAAGCACCGGCUAACUACGUGCCAGCCGCCGCGGUAA